rnacentral:lncRNA from 1 species
CUCUGGCAUAAUUGUUGGGUUCAUUUAAGUCAAUUGAAUUUUCCUCGGUGCAAUCAGUAAAAUAUGAUUAAAUUCAAAUUGAUAUUUUUAUAAUAUUUGAUUGAAGACUCCGUUUCUCUCGUUACAAUUGUAUUUUUCCCAUUUCUGAAUCCAUAAGAAAUAAUAAUUUCCUGAAACAGCUAAACAAUUCAAUCAAAGUUAAAUUUAAGAAAUUGCCCAACAUAUCUGAAAUAGCACCUUAAAAUAUUGUUCUAUUAUUUAUAUAUAAAAAAACGCAUUCAAACAUGACUUUACAAAUAAAAUUAAUCACAUCUUCUUCAUAUACUAGUUUAAUUUCAAGAAUAUAAAAUAGGUGAAAAAAUAAGAAGGCCUAAUGCAUGUGACACUUAUGAGUAAACUUUCUCUUUACACAUGUCAUACACAAGGAUGUAAGAAUAAGUUUGAUGAAAACUGACAGUCACUAACAUUUGAGUAAACUCAAGAUGUUCCAAAAUUUUAUGUGAUACAACCAAGAAUUAUAUAUCAUUCUUUAAAAUUUUAAUACACUACUAUAAACAAUCACUUAGAAACAAAUAUUUUGCUACAAUAAUAGAAUUGACUAUAUCAUAUUUAGCAGCUAUAAUAAAUAUGUUAAUAUUUGUAACCAACACUUCAGAAAUACAACGACAUUAAUUAGUUUAAUUUAUUUACUUAAUAUUUUUUCUCCAGAAUAAAAAUUUAUUUUCAUUAAAUCUAUAUUUUGUUGAAGUGAUAUACGUGUUAAAAUGAGUAUAACUUUUGAAUGAAGACCUGCUCUAGUAAAAUCUUUUAGUAGAACAUAACCUUCAAACUUUAGAAAAAAAAAUUAGCAUGAAAUUGGCUUCACAAGAAUAAUAAAAUUCUGAAAAUUUAGCAGAACAUAAUCUUGCGUACAUGAAACUAAUAACCUAACCACAAAAUAUUGUGUUUAUAGUUAGUUUUUUUUUUAUAUAUAGAAAACAAUUUUUUAAACUAAAUCAAAUGUCAUGUGAAUUGAGAAAAUUCUAGAUUUUAAAAUAAGGAAAAACAAAAUUCUUUUGACAUUAUUUACUCCAACUAAAUUAAAUACGAAAGAAAAUUAAACCACUAAAGCUAAAUCCCAAAAUCUAUGUGAAGAAAAAUAAAUAAAUUUCUCUUUUAUAUAAUUAAUCUUCGAAAUAUAGAUCUAAGAAAAGAUUUGAGGUUUGUAGUGAGACUGUCUAUUUUCUAAAGGAUAGAACUUUUCGUCAAAGAUCCUUUUUAAAGCAUUAGUAACACAUUUUUUCUGGUUAACCCAAAAUACACACAGACUUAAUUUCUUAUUUAGGUCAGAUUCCCCUUGCUCCCACCCCUGUUUCGCCAUAAAAUCAGAUAUUAAAAUAAAAAAAUUAACAAAUUAUAAUUAAAAAAGUUAAAAUGACAUGUCUAUAGAGUCAUUGACUAUUAACUAGAGAAAUAAUCAUUUAUAAUACUAAAAUACACUUUAAACUUAAAUUAAAUUUAUGAAAAUUAUAAAACACGAUCGAUGAAAAUGUUCACAAGAAAAUCAGUUGCCAAAUAAAUUGUAAUUUUUCAUUUAUAAUGAUUGUUUCAAAACCUUCAUAUAGGGACACUGAACAAAUUUUACCUCAACAAAAUAUUUCAUAAAAUGGUGAACGCUAGUUGAACAAUUUUAAUAAGGUAAGACUGAAUAUACUACAAAUCACUCAACGCCUUUGUCACUUUGAAAAAUCUGAAAAUCAAAGAGUCUUGUCAAUAUCACUGGUCUACAGCAAGAAUAAAGACGAGAAACAUUAGUCUCUAAUAAAUUAGUUAUAUAAUUGUCUACAUUUUUUAUGAGAUAACAAAACGAAGGCAAGAUACACCAUUAAUUCUGGAAUAAACAAAAAUGUCCUAAUUUAAAAAAAAUAACGCAAAAAUCAUAACAUAAAAUUUGAAUCUUAACCAUGAAAUUUGCCUCUUUGAGAGAAAGACUUGUGUGAAUUUAGAAGCACAAAUUAAAACUUAAUAAUCUUGGUUUGAAUAAGCAAGUACACAAAAAAAAAAUUUAAAAAGGAACAAAUUGACCAAUGACUCAAUCAAACAGCAAAACAUAAAGACAAGAAUAAUUGUCAUGGAUCAAAGGACAUGGCCAGAUAGACAUGAUUUCUCUAAAAAAAAGAGUAUAUGAUCGCACAAAUAACUGAAUUUAUGAACGAAGAUCUACGACAUGCUCAGAGGCAUUAUUUCUCUAAUAAAACCUAGUGUCACAAAUAACUAUAAUUACAAACCAAGACCAAUCCAUACAUAUAUUCAGUCUAAAACGCUUAUUCUCAUUUCAAAAGUGAAACAAGAACAUAAAAAAUAACUCACCAUUUUUACAAGAGUGUAGUAAU